rnacentral:rRNA from 1 species
GUCUACAGCCAUACCACCCUGAAUGUGCCCAAUAUCUUCUUAUCUCAGAAGCUAAGCAGGGUUGGGCAUGGUUAGUAUUUGGAUGGGAAACAAGGUCUUGCUUUGUUGCCC